rnacentral:misc_RNA from 1 species
ACGAAUUCAAGCUCUGCUUGGUGAUGGGUGCCUGUCCUGCCUUUGUGCAGUUGACUCGCCUUAACAGUAUUGGCAGCAGUCUUACCGGCUCCUUGCGCAGCAGUAUGCGCUUCUAGGGGUACUAGUCAGGCUGCGUCCAUUAAGUCUUCUUUACU